rnacentral:sRNA from 1 species
UUCCUAAACCGCACGUUUCUAUGCGAUAGUUAGCCGAUGGUUUUCAAAUGCAACUCUGAAUAAUUGUCAUUCACAAUGGAAAAAUGGUAUUCACUGCGAAAACGUAAACAAUGAUUGUGACAAAAUUAACAAAAAACAAAAACAACAACAGAACAGCUCGGAAGGACAGCAGACCAAAAACUUAUUAAUAAAAUGGAUUUAGUGCCAGAAAACUCCUCCAGUGCAAACAAGAGAACAACAGCAGGCGGCAGGGUGAAAUGGAGUGCCGCGCUUGAGUGCCUGCUGGUUGACAUAUGGCAGGAGAAAAUU